rnacentral:rRNA from 1 species
GACGAACGCUGGCGGCGUGCUUAACACAUGCAAGUCGAACGGAAAGGCCCUGCUUUUGUGGGGUGCUCGAGUGGCGAACGGGUGAGUAACACGUGAGUAACCUGCCCUUGACUUUGGGAUAACUUCAGGAAACUGGGGCUAAUACCGGAUAGGAGCUCCUGCUGCAUGGGGGGGGUUGGAAAGUUUCGGCGGUUGGGGAUGGACUCGCGGCUUAUCAGCUUGUUGGUGGGGUAGUGGCUUACCAAGGCUUUGACGGGUAGCCGGCCUGAGCGGGUGACCUGCCACAUUGGGACUGAGAUACGACCCAGACUCCUACGGGAGGCAGCGGUGGGGAAUAUUGCACAAUGGGCGGAAGGCUGAUGUAACCACGCCGCGUGGGGGAUGACGGCCUUCGGGUUGUAAACCGCUUUCGCCUGUGACGAAGCGUGAGUGACGGUAAUGGGUAAAGAAGCACCGGCUAACUACGUG